UUAUCAUUUAGAGGAAGGAGAAGUCGUAACAAGGUUUCCGUAGGUGAACCUGCGGAAGGAUCAUUGUCGAAACCUGCCCAGCAGAAAGACCCGCGAACAUGUUCACCUCGACGUGCGGGGAGGGGUGCCUCGGCCCCCCGCCCCGAGCCGGGAGCAACCCCCGGCGCAGCAACGAAACCCCGGCGCGAACCGCGCCAAGGAACACGAACUCAUGGCGUGCCCGCCCGCGCCCGGUCCGCCGGCGCGCGGGGGCGGCACCUGUCCCUACUUAGAAACGUAACGACUCUCGGCAACGGAUAUCUCGGCUCUCGCAUCGAUGAAGAACGUAGCGAAAUGCGAUACUUGGUGUGAAUUGCAGAAUCCCGUGAACCAUCGAGUCUUUGAACGCAAGUUGCGCCCGAAGCCUUCCGGCCGAGGGCACGUCUGCCUGGGCGUCACGCAUCGCGCCUCCCCCCCGCCCGCCGGGGGGGAAGGAUGAUGGCCUCCCGCGCCCCCAGCCGGGGCGCGGCUGGCCCAAAACGGGAGCCCGCGGGGACGCGCUGCGGCGGCGACUGGUGGUGGACGAGGCCUUGAGUGGCCACCGUUUGCAUCGCGCCGCGCACGCACGCCGCCGGGAGGGGCUCGUCGGACCCUAAGGUGUGCCGAAGGCACAAAACCGUUGCGACCCCAGGUCAGGCGGGGCUA
rnacentral:rRNA from 1 species